CCCUGCCAUUUGUACACACCGCCCGUCGCACCUACCGAUUGAAUGGUCCGGUGAAGCCUCGGGAUUGUGGCCAGUUCACUUUAUUGGGAGUUGGCUGCGAGAACUUGUCUAAACCUUAUCAUUUAGAGGAAGGUGAAGUCGUAACAAGGU
rnacentral:rRNA from 1 species